GCUCUCAGGGCCGGAUGUUUAAUUUUCCUGAGUCGUGCUUCUCCUGUUUGUCCGGGCUGUGAUCGCCAGACCAUAACAGUCUGAAAGCUAGAGUGCAGCCCCUUUAAGGAGCCGAGUGUUUGCCAAAUGAUUUACUGCUCGCUAAAAUACAAAGAAAAAUGUGUUUGCAUUGGCCAAGCCCUCUCGCAAACACAAGCAGCAAGUGAAGAUCUCCAGCUGCUCAAAACCCGCGUCAGCAAUCCAGUUCACGUUAUUGCACAAGCAGAAAUGUUUUAAUGCGUAAAUAUUUACCCAGACCGACCCUCUUUUGACAGCCGUACCUUCGAUCUUUGGCUUGGCUUCUGCAAGACGCUCAGCAAACUUCUUCUUGAAAAACAAAGCCUGCAGGCGCUGCUGGUAAUGGUCGAUCCUGCGGAUGAGUGAACAGAAACGUGCUUUGCUGGGCAUAUUUGACUGACAACUUUCCUCGACAUUCCUCAGUGCUAAAGGUUCAUUUGGUUACAAGGACUAACCUAUCUCUGCUCUCUCACUUCAGCUGAGAGACAAGCCUAUCUUUGAUGAAAAGAAAGAACUGGAUGUAAAUGCAUUGGCACUGGAGGUCCUUCAGAGAAGAAUUGCUUGGUGAUUAAGAGCGUCUACAGAUAAGGACAAAGGUGUGAAUGGAGGGUCGACAGGCUGAAGAACAACCCUUUGCAGGUGAUCAAAAGUGUCAGAAGAAGAUGAAGGAGCUUGUGAUUUUAAAUAAACCUGUUGGAUUAUAA